AUGUCCUUCUCCAGCCAAGAUUGUGAGAUGAGCCUGGUGGUUAGAGCAUUUGGUGGGAGUGAGACUGUCAAUGCAGAUGGGCUAAGGGUGCUAGUGAGGGCUUUGUUUAAGAGCCACAAAGCAAGGUUGGCCUUUCUCGGGACUUCUUUCUCCUUAUCCAGCUCUUUUUCUCCAGAUCCAGCCCUUCCCCAAGAUAGUAGCCUGGAGGAGAAGGAAGGAGAGACUUCUGGAGUCCUGGCUGCCAGGUUUCAGGGAUUCCCGUUUCUAAGCCAGAUUUGCUCCUUCUGUUGAAGAGAGAAGAUGUAUGGAAUCUAGAGGGAGAAGUUUGUAUAGGCAUUUGUCCAGAUUCCAUUAUUAAAGAGACAUAGAUUGAAACCAAGGAUUCAAAUCUGAAGCAAGUCAUCUGUUUGGAAGCCUUAUCUCAUCAAAAACUGGGAAAAAAUAUAGUUUGGCAUUCCAAGAUUGUAAGGCUCAGCACCAGGGUCGGCCAGCCCUGUGUGACCUUACAUGGGGUAACGAAAAGUGAAGAGUAACGAAUGGACGCUAUAUGAAAAUGCAUAGCGACAAAGUUUAUUGGAUUUACACAAAGCAUAUAAAGGAAAAAACCACAGGAAUGUAUGACUUUACAGCCCAGCACCAGCAGGAACCAAUAAUU
rnacentral:lncRNA from 1 species